UUGAUGCUUUCUUGUGUUAGGUGUUUCAAAAAAUUUGAUAUCAUUUCGUAAUCUAAUAACUUUGCCAGUUCUUGUUCAAAUGACUUCAAAUUUUAACAGCCUGUGUAGAAACAGGUAAAAAUUUUAUGUUUAAGGUUUGAUAUAUUUAUCUUUUCAGGUAUAGA